UAGGGAAUCUUCCACAAUGGACGCAAGUCUGAUGGAGCAACGCCGCGUGAGUGAAGAAGGGUUUCGGCUCGUAAAACUCUGUUGUUAAAGAAGAACAUAUCUGAGAGUAACUGUUCAGGUAUUGACGGUAUUUAACCAGAAAGGAACGGCUAAAUACGUGCCUG
rnacentral:rRNA from 1 species